rnacentral:rRNA from 1 species
CAAUAGCGUAUAUUAAAGUUGUUGCAGUUAAAAAGCUCGUAGUUGGAUUUCCGGCGUGAGGGAUCAGUCUGACUUCUAGUCAGUACUUGGUCCUCUCAUGCCGUCCUUGAAUGGUGCAUCCUGGCAUUAAGUUGUCGGGGUGAGAGCCGUUCAUCGUUUACUGUGAGAAAAUUAGAGUGUUCAAAGCAGGCUUAUGCCGUUGAAUAUAUUAGCAUGGAAUAAUAAGAUAGGACUUUGGUACUAUUUUGUUGGUUUGAGAACCAAGGUAAUGAUCAAUAGGGACAGUUGGGGGUAUUCGUAUUCAGUUGUCAGAGGUGAAAUUCUUAGAUUUCCGGAAGACGAACUACUGCGAAAGCAUUUACCAAGGAUGUUUACUCUAAUUACUACGAAACGAAAACGUAAAGUUAGGGGUAGGGUACGUAACGGAAACGGAACGUUAAGUUAAGUAACCGUUACCCGUUCGUAGGAACGUACGUCCGAACCGGAACGGACCAACCAACGGGGAAGGGUAAGGUA